GUGGGGAAUCUUAGACAAUGGGCGCAAGCCUGAUCUAGCCAUGCCGCGUGAGCGAUGAAGGCCUUAGGGUUGUAAAGCUCUUUCAGCUGGGAAGAUAAUGACGGUACCAGCAGAAGAAGCCCCGGCUAACUCCGUGCCAGCAGCCGCGGUAAUACGGAGGGGGCUAGCGUUGUUCGGAAUUACUGGGCGUAAAGCGCGCGUAGGCGGAUCGGAAAGUUGGGGGUGAAAUCCCGGGGCUCAACCUCGGAACUGCCUUCAAAACUCCCGGUCUUGAGUUCGAGAGAGGUGAGUGGAAUUCCGAGUGUAGAGGUGAAAUUCGUAGAUAGUCGGAGGAACACCAGUGGCGAAGGCGGCUCACUGGCUCGAUACUGACGCUGAGGUGCGAAAGCGUAGGGAGCAAACAGGAUUAGAAACCCCUGUAGUCC
rnacentral:rRNA from 1 species